AGUCCAAGCACCAGUAUGCUACAACGCAGCUAGCUCUCCUCCUGGUGCUCCCCUCAUUCCUCCGCUGGAGAUGGCUAGAUCUAGGAGGUGGAUGAAGAGAGGUUUGGCGGCAAGAGGCGGUCUGCGGCCGGCACGGGCGUCGUCGGCGGCGGCGGCAGCGGUAGAAGAGAGGUUCGGCGGGACCCCAAAUCACCGGCAAGGGCGAGCGGAGAGGGGCCCGUCGAUGGCGAGGGAUCAGAUGUUGAUUAACCCGCUAUGCUACCUCGGUUUACCUCUUGAUCUUCCCCGCCGUCACUUGGAGCUACAUCAAUUCGAACCGAGGAUGAUCCAGGACACUUGCUGCUUCUCUGGAUCCUUGGUGAAGAUGACAUCUUUUGAUUCUGCGGGAUAGAUACAUCAAUAUGUUGUGCUUGUGAACAUGAUUCUGGAACCACAUUUGUUGAAUGAGAACUCAACAAAUCCAUGAAUGUAGUGUCAAUAUAGGACUCCAUGGAUUUUGUGCAGAUGAGAGAAAAGAGAUAAUAGCAACGUAGAUGUGCGACAGCUUUGGUUGAUUGUUGCCUCGUGGUCGUUUGCAUCUAAUUUGUUACGAAAGAUAUGCGGCUGUUCACGUUCGCUAUGGUUGUUUGUUUGCUGCAAAUUAUCUGCUUGGUGACGUUGUGUGGUUGUUGGUUCCCUCCAAAUUAUCUGGUCUGUUGACGCAUUUUG